AGAGUUUGAUCCUGGCUCAGGAUGAACGCUAGCGACAGGCUUAACACAUGCAAGUCGAGGGGCAGCGGGGAGUAGCAAUACUUCGCCGGCGACCGGCGCACGGGUGAGUAACACGUGUGCAACCAACCCCGUACCGGGAGAUAACCCGCGGAAACGUGGACUAACAUCCCAUGCUACUCGAGAGCCGCAUGGCUCUAGAUUUAAAAUUCCGGUGGUACGGGCCGGGCACGCGCGACAUUAGGUAGUUGGCGGGGUAAGGGCCCACCAAGCCGACGAUGUCUAGGGGUUCUGAGAGGAAGGUCCCCCACACUGGAACUGAGACACGGUCCAGACUCCUACGGGAGGCAGCAGUGAGGAAUAUUGGUCAAUGGGCGAGAGCCUGAACCAGCCAAGUCGCGUGAGGGAAGAAUGGUCUAUGGCCUGUAAACCUCUUUUGCCAGGGAAGAAUAAAAGGUACGUGUACCUUCUUGCCAGUACCUGACGAAUAAGCAUCGGCUAACUCCGUGCCAGCAGCCGCGGUAAUACGGGGGAUGCGAGCGUUAUCCGGAUUUAUUGGGUUUAAAGGGCGCGUAGGCGGGACGUCAAGUCAGCGGUAAAAGACUGCAGCUAAACUGUAGCACGCCGUUGAAACUGGCGUCCUCGAGACGAGACGAGGGAGGCGGAACAAGUGAAGUAGCGGUGAAAUGCAUAGAUAUCACUUGGAACCCCGAUAGCGAAGGCAGCUUCCCAGGCUCGUUCUGACGCUGAUGCGCGAGAGCGUGGGUAGCGAACAGGAUUAGAUACCCUGGUAGUCCACUUUUUUCAGAUUGCCCCACGGAGUUUC
rnacentral:rRNA from 1 species